rnacentral:rRNA from 1 species
ACGAACGCUGGCGGCGUGCCUAAUACAUGCAAGUCGAGCGGACGGAUGGGAGCUUGCUCCCAGACCGUCAGCGGCGGACGGGUGAGUAACACGUGGGCAACCUGCCUGUAAGACUGGGAUAACUCCGGGAAACCGGGGCUAAUACCGGAUAACUCUUUCCCUCACAUGAGGGAAAGCUGAAAGAUGGCAUCUCGCUAUCACUUACAGAUGGGCCCGCGGCGCAUUAGCUAGUUGGUGAGGUAACGGCUCACCAAGGCGACGAUGCGUAGCCGACCUGAGAGGGUGAUCGGCCACACUGGGACUGAGACACGGCCCAGACUCCUACGGGAGGCAGCAGUAGGGAAUCUUCCGCAAUGGACGAAAGUCUGACGGAGCAACGCCGCGUGAGUGAUGAAGGUUUUCGGAUCGUAAAACUCUGUUGUCAGGGAAGAACAAGUACCGGAGUAACUGCCGGUACCUUGACGGUACCUGACCAGAAAGCCACGGCUAACUACGU